rnacentral:lncRNA from 12 species
GGAAGAGGAAGGCAGUGUCCACAGCAAGUCUUCAGGCCCUGCUCGGCUCACAUCCUGUCAUUGCCCCAGAGAACCGCCUGAACUCACACCAGGAACUGCCUUCCAGACACUAAGGAAGGAGGCAGUGAGCGCCACUUCUGCAUAGAAGUCCAGAGAUGAUCCAGUCCAACAGUUCCUUGGAGAGACCCUCGUGCCAGGUCACACAGGGGGUGGGAAGAGUGAAGCCUCAGGUUCCAUCUAAGUACCCCUGACCUCAAGGCAGCACAGCUUCUCACCACCAGCACACCAGUGGGCUUUCUGAAGAACUGCCUCUGGAAGUUCCCUCAGGAAGGCAGAUCCUGAAGCAUGGUGCCUUCGAGGUUGGAAAAUAUAUUUUGAAAGGAGUAUUUUUGCUGCAUCCACCAGAAAUUUCGUCCUGUUCGGAGAUGGAAGGCGAGUCCGCCCCUAAAGGUGUCACUGCUUGCAGAACAGCGGCCCCUGGUGGGCUCCACGUGAAGUUCUCUGGCCCAACUGCACGCAUGCAUUUGGCAGUCACUCUCUGCCAGAGGAAAUAAAGUCCAAGGAUGAAGGCCUGAGAAGAAGGAGAAGAUGGACAUCCCAGCUCAAGAAGAGACAGAAGAAAUUCACUCUUCUUCUGCCUUUCUGUUGUAUUUGGGCCCUCAAUGGAUUGCAUGAUGUCCACCCACAUUGGUGAGGGUGGAUCUUCUUUCCUUGGUUUACUAAGUAACGCUAAUUUCUUUCAGAAACAUGCUCCAACGUAUCCAGAAAUAAUGUUUUACUAGCUCUCUUGGCAUUUCUUAGUCCAGUCAAGUUGACACAUAAAAUAAACCAUCACAACAUUGUAUUCUAACUCUAGCC